rnacentral:rRNA from 1 species
GUUGAACGCUGGCGGCGUGCCUAAUACAUGCAAGUCGAGCGAACGGACGAGAAGCUUGCUUUUCUGAUGUUAGCGGCGGACGGGUGAGUAACACGUGGAUAACCUACCCAUAAGACUGGGAUAACUUCGGGAAACCGGAGCUAAUACCGGAUAAUAUUUUGAACCGCAUGGUUCAAAAGUGAAAGACGGUCUUGCUGUCACUUAUAGAUGGAUCCGCGCUGCAUUAGCUAGUUGGUAAGGUAACGGCUUACCAAGGCAACGAUGCAUAGCCGACCUGAGAGGGUGAUCGGCCACACUGGAACUGAGACACGGUCCAGACUCCUACGGGAGGCAGCAGUAGGGAAUCUUCCGCAAUGGGCGAAAGCCUGACGGAGCAACGCCGCGUGAGUGAUGAAGGUCUUCGGAUCGUAAAACUCUGUUAUUAGGGAAGAACAUAUGUGUAAGUAACUGUGCACAUCUUGACGGUACCUAAUCAGAAAGCCACGGCUAACUACGUG